UACGUAGGGUGCAAGCGUUAAUCGGAAUUACUGGGCGUAAAGCGUGCGCAGGCGGUUUUGUAAGUCUGUCGUGAAAGCCCCGGGCUCAACCUGGGAAUUGCGAUGGAGACUGCAAGGCUUGAAUCUGGCAGAGGGGGGUAGAAUUCCACGUGUAGCAGUGAAAUGCGUAGAGAUGUGGAGGAACACCGAUGGCGAAGGCAGCCCCCUGGGGUAACACUGACGCUCAUGCACGAAAGCGUGGGGAGCAAACAGG
rnacentral:rRNA from 1 species